rnacentral:SRP_RNA from 1 species
UGGCGGGCCUCCCCGCAUUGUAAGAUAGCCAACCUGGUCAGGUCCGGAAGGAAGCAGCCACAACUAUUGAGCAAGUGCCGGGGGUUUGGCUCGCCUCCUC